rnacentral:rRNA from 1 species
GGGCCCGCACAAGCGGCGGAGCAUGCGGCUUAAUUCGAUGCGACGCGAAGAACCUUACCUGGGCUUGACAUGCAGGGCAAAGCCGGUGAAAGCCGGCGCUCUACGGAGCCUGCACAGGUGGUGCAUGGCUGUCGUCAGCUCGUGCCGUGAGGUGUUGCCUUAAGUGGCGCAACGAGCGCAACCCUUGUCCUUAGUUGCCAGCGGGUAGAGCCGGGAACUCUAGGGAGACUGCCGGUGCCAAACCGGAGGAAGGUGGGGAUGACGUCAAGUCAUCAUGCCCCUUAUGUCCAGGGCUGCACGCAUGCUACAAUGCGCGGUACAAAGGGCUGCGAUCCCGUAAGGGGGAGCGAAUCCCAAAAAGCCGUGCUCAGUUCGGAUCGGGGUCUGCAACCCGACCCCGUGAAGUCGGAGUCGCUAGUAAUCGCAGAUCAGCAAUGCUGCGGUGAAUACGUUCCCGGGCCUU